rnacentral:piRNA from 1 species
CAAUUGUGACCCCUUUGCAGUGA